rnacentral:lncRNA from 1 species
CUUGAAAUUUAUCUUAAUGAGCAAAAUCCAGCCAAUGGAACAGGGUGCAGAUGAAAGUGACAGAUGGGAUCAUUUAAAGUUUGAUUCUUUGCAUGAAAGAAAAUACUAUUUUCAAUAAGUUAUUUUUCUUCUGUUUGUUACAGUGUUCUGCUUAGUGUCACAGCCUCCAAUUGGCAGUCCCAGCUCUUUGGCAGAUUAAUUUAUCCAGGGUCAUAUCCUCAGCUUUUGAAAAUUCAGAGUUUGAGGGAGCUCCUGGAACUCCUCAGCUCACAUAAGCGCGUGGAGCUGGUCCAACAGUCAGCGGCAAGUCUCCUCAGCCAAGAGAUUUUUGCUAGAUAUGGACUGAGACCCCAAGUCUGAAGCUGUCCAAGAUCAGUCUGCUAAGAAUAUGAACAGUCAUCAAUCAGGUAGUCUGGAAGAAUAUACAGAAGUGUAUCAAUUUGUUCGCAAGUAUUUUCAGACACAAACAACUACAAGAAUUUACCACUGCUAUAUAAAAAUAUAGUCUGGGACCUAGUCAGGUUCAUAAAAGUUCUGUGAAGCUGGAGGAUGCAUUUCCUUGUAGGAGAUGUGUUGAAUUUUGAUGUGCUGAGAGGUGCUGUCAUACACCCCUUAGUGCACAGCAUCAUACUGUUACAUGUCAUUUAUCCUUAACAGGGGAAGAUAGGCAGGAGAAGGAAUGGAAUCAGUCCUAUGCAAUAAAAUAAUUGCUGUCUUCACCAUUUCCUUGCACAGAAAUUUCAUUGUAAUAUGGCAUGGGUAUUCUGUUUCCUUGUGGAUUUGUGAUGGCAGAGGAGGAAGACAGAGAGAAAGGUGACUUUUUUUUUUUUUUUUUUUUUUUUUUAGGAAUACUUUUACAUAUCCGGAAAGUGAAAGUCAUGCCUUGAUGCCUUGUCCCUCAUUUUUAUUUAGGGGGGAAUGUUUGCUGUACACACUCUUGCAACUUGCAAAACUAGCUUUGAAAUAAAAGAAAGAAAAUUUAUCUUCAUAGCUUCAUAAAUUGUAAAUUAUUUAUUUGCUAUCCCUGGUAAAUCUGCUUUUGCAAAACCUCACUGUGAAAUUAGCA